UUGUGCAUAAGUAAUUAGUUAACGCCUAGUUAUCUCAGGUCAGAUAUUUCCUUUUCUGAUUGCAAAUCAAUAGAGCGCACUAAACUUGACACAGGCAACAUUUCUCGGAGAUAACAUCAUACUACUAAGUUAAGCAAGAAGCGACAGAUCUCUAGAGCACAUUAAGAUAACUGAACAACAGCCUCUUCAGAAAAUGAAAAUAACUUGCCUAGAUUGACACUAACAAAGAACGGCACACGCGCCUGCAUGCGUGGAGAUAACAACUUCAGUGGGUCGAAAGAAGCAACAAGAGGUAGAUCGACAGAGACAACCCAACACACGCGACAUUUUCACGCGAUAACUCUAACUUAACUAGAUCGACCGGGGCGGCAAGCGGCAGAUGCGCGCGCAUGCAUGCAUGCAUGCUCUGCUCUCCCUUACAGCGCGAAGGCGGCGGCCGCCGCCGCGGCGCCGGCAGUGCGCAGUAUCUGAAAAUACAGCUGCGAAUUCGCCACGAAUGCCGCGCGGGAGAUGAAGAAGCCGGCCGCGCCUGGCGCCUUCAUCGUGGCGCCGGCGGCCACCGCCCCAGCAGGCCAGAGGAAGUAGAUGCCCACGGCAGCGCCGGCGACCACCGCCGCGGCUGCGGCGGCUUCCAGCGCGCCUUCGUGUGUGGUGAACACGUCCUUCGCCUUCUGCUUGAACGAGUCCAUCUCGGCAAGCGUGUUUCUUCUGUGGUGCAGUAGAUGUUGCCUUGCUGGUACUGUGCCGAUCUUGAUGGAGAAGGUCCUGUGUUAGCCAGAGGAAGGGAGCGGGUGGUUUAUAAAGACGGAGGUGUCGUGGUGAGCGAACGCACUUCGGCCUUGGAAGUUGGAAUACGCCG
rnacentral:lncRNA from 1 species